UGGACCUCUGUAGAUGGUUCUCGACUGUGU
rnacentral:piRNA from 1 species